AAAAUAAUAAGGUUAAAGUACUUGAAAAUUAAGAAAACUUGCCAUCAAGGAAUGAGUACCAAAUGAUUUUAUUAAUUUGCAAAUGGCUCCUCAUUAGGAGGAUUAAAUACAACAUUUUUGUUAAAGUAAUCUAUGGUGGCGUGAUACGCCACUAGCCAAUCCAUCCCUCAAAUUACAUUGAAAUCUCUCGUGUCUAACCCUAUUAGGUCUACACUCAGUUUUCUAUUUGUUAUCUCCACGGCACAAGCCAUGUAUACAACUUUCCCUAAUAAUGUUUCACCCCCAGCAGUAGACACAAAUAACAUUGAAUCAAGUUUAUCAGGUGAUACAUUAAGUUUGGAUGCAAAAACAUGUGAAACAAAUGAAUACGAUGCACCAGCAUCAAAUAAAACAUGAGCAAUAUGGUUACAGAUAGUGUACAUACCCUGUACCACAUCCGGGUCGGCAUUGGCAUCUACUGUCUGAGGUUGUAAACCCUGCCUUGAAGAGGAGGUCUUCCUUAGUUCUGGUUCUUCGGGCACUUUCUCGCAUAGUACUAGGCACUACAACAAAUGCGACAGGUGUUGUUGAGGCGAUAGCAUGGUCGGUCCCCGUGAUCCCUGCCGCAGUGCUGACAGAUCUUGCCACGUGCUGCCCCAGGAGCCUGAGUGGGAACCUGGACCGCCGGUCUGGACCUCUUAUUUUGUUGGACAGGUGCAGUAGAUGUUGGUCUGCAGGGUGGAGCUGAGGGUCUGUGACUCCUUACUGACUGAGAAAGGGUGUUGAAACUCCUCUCCACGAUCUGCGCCUUUACCAGAACAGCUGAAUAUGUCUUGAGCUCUAGUACUAAAAAGUGCUGCUUGAUCUCUGGGCGGAGGCCCCACUAGAACCUCCUAGCCUUCCUGCCCUCAUCUAUCAUUGUGCUCAGGGGAGUAUCGGCCCAGCUCUAGGAACUUACGAGCAUAUUCCGAUACCGUCAUGUUUCCCUGAACUAGCUGGACAAACUCCAUCUCCUUUAGAUAUCGGAUGUGCUUGGAGAGGUACUCCGGAUGAAAGGCUGCUAAGAACUGCUCCC
rnacentral:lncRNA from 1 species